CAGCUCCCAGAGCCCCCUGUUGGGUCUCAGCUCCCAUGCUAGAUCCCUGCCGCCCCUCUGCCUCCACCUGCCACAGCCCCUCUGGCCCACCCCCUCAGGCUGGCCAAAGCUGCAGCUGCUGGUUUCCUGCAUGAGACACAUGAUGUGCCAGACUCGCGAGUACAGGAAGGAGUGUGAGGAGGCUCCUGUGCAGAGCCCAGGGAGGUAUGAAAUGAACCUCCUGGCAAGACUCUGCACCCCAUGGCAACUGCUAUAAUUCACUGCAUGCUUGCUUCUCACUGCAGGGACAGCCUCAGGCACCAUCUGGAGGAGCUUAGCUUGGAACGUUUCAAAUCUCAUGUCCACAAGAGACAGCUUGUCGCCUUCACUCCAGCUGUGGGUAAUCCUUGAAGAAGGGAGAGGGAUAUAAAUAAGAGAGACAGUGACCUCCAACUCACCUCUCCUCCCAUCUCUCUGCUCAUGAUAUCAACAACUCUCAAAGAACUGAGUUAAGCGGGGAGUGGUCCCAGGCUGGAAGGAGACCCAGCCUGUGAAAUUUACAACAGUGUAUGCUGAGACAAAAACCUUUGUUUUUAGGCUAGUUAAAUUAGGUAUUGGCUUGC